GAUGAACGCUGGCGGCGUGCCUAAUACAUGCAAGUCGAGCGAACAGACGAGGAGCUUGCUCCUCUGACGUUAGCGGCGGACGGGUGAGUAACACGUGGAUAACCUACCUAUAAGACUGGGAUAACUUCGGGAAACCGGAGCUAAUACCGGAUAAUAUAUUGAACCGCAUGGUUCAAUAGUGAAAUACGGUUUUGCUGUCACUUAUAGAUGGAUCCGCGCCGCAUUAGCUAGUUGGUAAGGUAACGGCUUACCAAGGCAACGAUGCGUAGCCGACCUGAGAGGGUGGUCGGCCACACUGGAACUGAGACACGGUCCAGACUCCUACGGGAGGCAGCAGUAGGGAAUCUUCCGCAAUGGGCGAAAGCUUGACGGAGCAACGCCGCGUGAGUGAUGAAGGUCUUCGGAUCGUAAAACUCUGUUAUUAGGGAAGAACAAAUGUGUAAGUAACUAUGCACGUCUUGACGGUACCUAAUCAGAAAGCCACGGCUAACUACGUG
rnacentral:rRNA from 1 species